rnacentral:rRNA from 1 species
UACGGGGGGUGCAAGCGUUAUCCGGAAUAAUUGGGCGUAAAGCGUCUGUAGGUGGCUAUCCAAGUCAACUGUCAAACAUCAGGGCUUAACCUUGAGCCGGCAUUUGAAACUAGGUAGCUUGAGUUAGGUAGGGGCAGAGGGAAUUCCUAGUGUAGCGGUGAAAUGCGUAGAUAUUAGGAAGAACACCAAUCGCGAAAGCACUCUGCUGGGCCAUAACUGACACUGAGAGACGAAAGCUAGGGGAGCGAAUGGG